GGAUUGUGGCUCAGCGGGAGAGCACUUGCCUAGAAAUGCGAGACCCUGGGUUCCAUCCCCAGCACCA
rnacentral:tRNA from 1 species